rnacentral:rRNA from 1 species
AGUGAACGCUGGCGGUAGGCCUAACACAUGCAAGUCGAACGGCAGCACAGUAAGAGCUUGCUCUUACGGGUGGCGAGUGGCGGACGGGUGAGGAAUACAUCGGAAUCUACUUUUUCGUGGGGGAUAACGUAGGGAAACUUACGCUAAUACCGCAUACGACCUACGGGUGAAAGCAGGGGAUCUUCGGACCUUGCGCGAUUGAAUGAGCCGAUGUCGGAUUAGCUAGUUGGCGGGGUAAAGGCCCACCAAGGCGACGAUCCGUAGCUGGUCUGAGAGGAUGAUCAGCGACACUGGAACUGAGACACGGUCCAGACGCCUACGGGAGGCAGCAGUGGGGAAUAUUGGACAAUGGGCGCAAGCCUGAUCCAGCCAUACCGCGUGGGUGAAGAAGGCCUUCGGGUUGUAAAGCCCUUUUGUUGGGAAAGAAAAGAAGCAGGUUAAUACCCCGCUGUUAUGACGGUACCCAAAGAAUAAGCACCGGCUAACUUCGUG